ensembl:lncRNA
CUCAGCCCCUCUCCCCUCGCUGGGCCCACGGCCCUUGGGGGUAGAAGCCCUGAGGGAUGCUAGGUGGGCCCGCGGCAGGGGGGAGGGCCGGGGUCCCGGCCACCCCCGGGAGGCGGGGGGAGGGGCGGCGGGAUUGACAGUCGGUAAUUGGGUAACUGGAGGCCGCUUCUCCGGCCCGGCAGCCCCGCCACCGCGACGCCGGGCCCCUGACGUCACCCGAUUCGCCAGGAAAUGAACUUUUUAAUAAUCUGAGGAGGGAGGAAAGCCCUCGGUCCCCUCGGCUCGGGGGGCACCAGGCCAGGCCGGGCUCCGCCAGCAUGCCCCCGUCACCCCCUCCAAGGCCAGCUCUGGCAGCGCCACGGGAGCCUUCCCCUGCCUCGGCGUCCCGCCGGCCCUUUCUGUCCGAGGCCCUGGCGCAGCUUACGACUCAUCAACGCGUAAAACGCGAUCGCAGCGAAACCUCCAGCCUGUCUUGCCGCCUCAGAGCCCAGCAGGGGCUUCUCAAAGACAACGCGGCACCGGGGACAAUCCCCGGUGUCCGGCAAGGCCGCCCCAUGGAGUUCAAAGUCGGGGAUGGAGCGCGGGAGGCCCCGGACUCGCAGGCCGGCCGCCAGGCGGUGAACGCCGGAGCCGAGCGGAAGCUUACCGCCGACCGCGAUCCCAGCGUCGGUUCGCGGGGAGACGGUCGUUCCGAGCUUUCAGGAGAGCAGGUAAUCGCCUUUUUCCCCUCAAAGCGCGGUUCAAAUGAUCUCCGGGGCUGGAUGGGUCUGCAGUUUCAUAACCGCGAGCUAGGCUGCAAGCUCC